CAGAGUGUAGCUAAGCUAGAAAAGCAUCUCCCUUACACUGAGAAGUCGCCCGUGCAAACCGGACCACCCUGA
rnacentral:tRNA from 1 species